UAGAAGUCUAGCGAUCCAAAUUUUGGUAGA
rnacentral:piRNA from 1 species